CGCGCGCUCGCUCACCGCACCAGGCGCUGCCCGGCCUCUCAGCUCCCGGACGUUGAGCUCCGAGGAAUUAGUUAAUGGGGGUCAGAAUCUCGGGGAAAGCAGCAACCCUCUGGUGCUACCCGGCGUCUCUUGGCAAAGCCUCUUAGGAGCUGUACCAAACAGUGAUGCUCACCGAUACCAAACAAGUGAAUACUCUUCACAGUCCCUCUAAAAGAAAGCCUUCAAAGUCAUGGCUAGCAGCUUUCAAGAGAAUCGUCACUCAGUAAUAGAGCACUUCUGGAAAUAUUUCCCACUAUGAAGAAUAUUAUUUUUAAAAAGAAAAGAAAAGAAACAACUCCAAGAACAGUCUAACAACGCUAGUGAAGUCCAGAAACCAACCAUUCACACUCUGUUGCAGAAUUCUUUUUGUUCAGCAUUUUGCUCAGUUUUGCUGAAAGAAAGAAAUUUCAAUUUGUACUCAGAUGUGCGAAGACGUGACCGACGCCAAAUAUCCUUAGCUGGACUCUUCUAGCACUCUUUUAACUUAAAUAAAUUCAAGAGGCACUUGUGUGGUCUAAAA